rnacentral:rRNA from 1 species
AACGCGAAGAACCUUACAUGGCCGUGACAUAUUCAGAACCUUCCAGAAAAGGAUUGGUUCCUUCGGGAACUGACAUACAGGUGCUGCAUGGCAGUCGUCAGCUCGUGUAGUGAGAUGUUGGGUUAAGUCCCGCAACGAGCGCAACCCUUUUCCUUAUUUGCCAGCGAGUAAUGUCGGGAANCUUNAAGGAUACUCCCAGUGACAAAAUGGAGGAAAGUCGGGGACGACGUCAAGUUAUCAUGGCCCUAUCUNCAAGGGUUAAACACGUGUUNCAAUGGUGGGUACUAUAGGGUUGGAACACAUCGGAUGGGAUGCUAAUCUCAAAAACCGGUUNCUAUUCCGGAUUGGAUUUAUCAAAUUGGAGCUACCAUNAAUUCGGGUUCGUUAGUAAUCGCGGUUCAGGANGGAGCAGCUGAAUACGUUNUCCAAGG